GAAGGCCCCAGAGAAGAAGAACACCAUCUCUCAUCAGCUGGGUUAAGGCAUUUUGGUUAUAGAUGGAGGAAUUCCUGGAUGGGGCUGGAUCUAGACUGCUCUUCCCAAGGCCAUCAGAUUAAAGUUGCUGUUUUUCCAGCUAUGGCCUUUUUAAAACUCAUGUGUGGGGGACUUCCCCCGUGGUCCAGUGGCUAAGAAUCCACCUCCCCAGUGCACGGGACACGGGUCUGAUUCCACAAGCUGAGAGUUGAGGCCAAAAGGAAAGAAAAUCCUGUGGUGCUGUGACUGCGGUGAUGGACACUCGGGCCAUGACAGACAAGGCUGCUG